GAUGAACGCUGGCGGCGUGCCUAAUACAUGCAAGUCGAACGAACAGACGCGGAGCUUGCUCCUCUGACGUUAGCGGCGGACGGGUGAGAAACACGUGGAAACCCUCCCUAUCAGACUGGGAACACUUCGGGACACCGGCGCUAAUACCGUAUAAUAUCCUGCACCGCAUGGUGCAAUAGUGAAAGUCGGCUUUUCUGUCUCUACUCGCUGCUUCCGCGCCGGUUUAGCUGGUUGGUAAGGUAACGGCUUAUCAAGGCGAGGAUGCGUAGCCGGCAUGCUGGGGGGAUAGGCCACACUGGAACGGAGACACGGUCCAGACUCCUACGGGAGGCAGCAGUAGGGAAUCGUGCGCAAUGGGCGGAAGCCUGACGGAGCAGGGCGGCGUGAGUGAUGAAGGUCUUCGGAUCGUAAAACUCUGUUAUUGGGGAAGAACAAAUUUGUAAGUAACUAUGCACGUCUUGACGGUAACUAAUCAGAAAGCCACGGCUAACUACGUG
rnacentral:rRNA from 1 species